ACUCGGUCCCCUGAUCAACGCAGAAAAUUGCAACGGCUAGGAUCACACGUGCGCCCCACCCCGUAGCCUCAGAAAAUCCCCUACGGCCCAGCCCAAAUAUUCCCAACAGGAUCCCAUGGCGCAAUGGUGUGAUCAAUUUCCAACUCAAUCCAUCCGCUGGAUCCACGCCACGUGUCCGGAUGUACCAAGUAUUUCCACCUCUGCUUUUACUAAAAUCGCUCAAACUACACCACAGUGGGAGCCGAAGAGACCGACUCACACAAAGCUGAGAUCGGAGCGGGUGGGGGAAGCGAGAGUCGAAAUGUCUCGACUUCGGUGUAGAGAGCUCAACACAUUCCCCACACUCUCUACUCUCUCGCUCUCUCUACUCUUUCUAAUCCUCCGUUGUCCCCCACCUUUUGACCGCACCGAAGCGCCCACCAAUCAAUUCUCCCCCCUCGCGAUUUAGGGUUUCCUCCUCCUCCUCCGCCCAAACCCUAAUUCCUCCUCCGCCUCCUCCUAGAUCUCCCCCAUCUAGGGUUUCCCAAUUCGACUCCGAGCUCGAUCGUUGAUGCAUGGCGUCGGGGCCUCUGGUCGGGGCGGGCGGCGCCGGCGGCGACGGCUCCCGUGAGCGGCACCGGUGGGCGGAGAGCAAGGUCUACACCCGCAAGUCCCACAACAAGGCCUCCACCAAACCCUCCUCCGCCGCCACCUCCCAACCCCCUCCCUCCUCCUCCCAAACCCCCUCCGCCCCGCCGUCGCCCCCGUCCCCCGCCCCGCCCUUCGCCGCAGAUGAAGUGAACUCCUCCCACCACCGAGCGCCCCCGCCGCCGCCGCCGCCGCCGCCCCCUCCCGCUCAGCAGCCGCAGCUCCCCUCCUCUGCCGCCUCCGACGACGACGCCUCCAGCCUCAACCGCGCCCCGCCCCCCGGCGGCGCUGGCGGCGGCCUACCCAACGGCAACGGCCGCAGCGUCACCAUCAGUCUGGCCUCGCGUUCGCGGCAGGAGGUUCGCGAGCUCCGCCGCAAGCUCGCCGCCGAGCUCGAGCAGGUCCGCACCAUGGCCAAGAGGCUCGACGCCCGGGAGCGCCAGCUCGCGGCUUCCGCAGCCGCCGCUGCGUCCGUCGCCCCAGCUGCCGAGUACACUGUCUCCCAACUCUCCGCCACGGACCCCAACACUCCCGUCCCUUCAAAAUCCGUCGCUGCCCCGUUCCGCCGCCAGCUUAGCGUCUCGGUAGCCGCCGAGAGCAACCUAGAGUCCUUGGAGAAGGAAAAGCGCACCCCCAAAGCCAACCAAUUCUAUCAGAACCCUGACUUCGUCUCCGGUAAGGACAAGUUCCCGCCUCCCGACCCGCACGGCCACAAGAAGUCGAAAGCCAAUGGCAGCAAGAAGCACUUGCUACACGGGGAGGCCGACCAUGUCGAGAAGAAGCUCUACACGAAGGCCUUCAAGCAGUGCGCCUCCUUGCUCUCGAAGCUCAUGAAGCACAAGCAUGGGUGGGUCUUCAACACCCCUGUAGAUGUGAGAGGGCUAGGCCUGCACGACUACUACACCAUUAUCAGACACCCGAUGGACCUCGGCACGGUUAAGAACCGGCUCACGAAAAACAUGUACAAAUCUCCUUGGGAGUUUGCGGAAGAUGUGAGGCUAACCUUCCGCAAUGCCAUGACAUAUAAUCCGAAGGGGCAGGACGUCCACAUCAUGGCGGAGCAUCUCUAUCAGAUGUUUGAAGAGCGGUGGGCUAAGAUCGAGGCUGAAUUGUCCUCCUACCGCUCUCGUCAGCCUGCUCCCAAGAAGCCGCCGCCGCUCGAUAUGAGGAGUCUUGAAAGGUCGGAUUCAACAGCACACCCGAUGGCGGUGGAUUCGAAGUCGAAGCCUGCAGCUCAUACCCCGCAUAUCGGCCGCCCGCCGGCGCUAAAGAAGCCGAAGGCAAAGGACCCGCACAAGAGGGAGAUGACAUUCGAGGAGAAGCAGCGGCUGAGCAAUAAUUUACAGAAUUUGCCACCCGAGAAGCUGGAUAAUGUCGUGCAGAUUAUCAAGAGGAAGAACUUGUCGCUUAGCCAGCAUGAUGAUGAGAUUGAGGUGGAUAUUGAUAGUUUCGAUGUGGAAACUCUUUGGGAGCUUGAUCGGUUUGUGACUAAUUACAAGAAGAGCUUGAGCAAGAACAAGAGGAAGGCCGAGCUUGCUGUGCAAGCAAGGCAGGAGGCUGAGCAAAAUUCGGGAAAAGCGGUGCAAGAAAGAGUUACAGAGACCAUUGUCCCUGAAGCUCCAAAAGAAAAUAUAGCAGCGCAAGAUGACAAGUAUGCAGCUUCUUCAUCACCGGCUCAAGGUGAUAAGGAGGAAAAUGCUGCUAGAUCAAGUAGUUCGAGCAGCUCUAGCAGUGAUUCAGGUUCUUCUUCUAGUGAUUCUGACAGUGACAGUUCCUCUGCUUAUGGAUCGGAUGCUGGACAUUCACCUAGAACAUGAACAGCAGGGGAUCAGGUUUUCACAGUUUUGGUUGGAUUUGCAAUUCCUGACAUUAUGGAACUAAUCACAUUCAAAAGGAUAAAGCAUGAAGCAAGGUUUUAAGUGCCUAUCGGCACGAGCCGUGUCCACCAUGUCCCAUGAUGCACGCCUUGUGCUAACAAGAUAUUGAUAUCGGGGACAAGCCAAUGGAUGUGAACUGACUGAUGGAUUUUUUUCGCAUUAUUACCCCUGUGAAAAUUGUGGCUCGUUGAUCCAGUCCAUCUGCUUUUUUAUUGAAACUUUCUGUUCUCUAUCUAAUUAAAAAUUGCAGGACUCGCAGUUGUUCUGUUGCAGUAGUGGUUAGAAUUUCAUAGGAAGACGCACUCAUCAUGGGAAGUUAUGUACUUGUGUUAUUUGCAGAUCCAUUUGGGUGCAGUAAUGUAUGUAUUUGUAGGAUGUGACAUACAGGUAGCUCAUUUUCAGUGAAGUGCAAUGUAUAUUUAGUUCACCGCUUUUCAUAGAUCAACCACAUGGGUUGGCUAAAAGAACCAGUAAGCUGGUAUUAGGGGAAUAUAAUGGUCUCCUGUUGCUAUAACAGUAUGGGCCUUUUCUUAGUAGUCUCCUAAUAAUUGAAACAUUUUGUUGUUGAUCUGGAUCAUUUGUAAAUCAUUUUUCACUUGCUCUGCAUUUUAAAGCUGGUGUUUUGUUUUGUUCA